GUAGUCUGCAACCCGACUACAUGAAGCUGGAAUCGCUGGUAAUCGCGGAUCAGAAUGCCGCGGUGAAUACGUUCCCGGGUCUUGUANACACCGCCCGUCACACCAUGAGAGUCGGGAACACCCGAAGUCCGUAGUCUAACUUCACGAGAGGACGCGGCCGAAGGUGGGUUCGAUAAUUGGGGUGAAGUCGUAACAAGGUAGC
rnacentral:rRNA from 1 species